rnacentral:rRNA from 1 species
ACGCUCGACACCUACGGGAGCAGCAGUGGGGAAUAUUGCACAAUGGGGGAAACCCUGAUGCAGCGACGCCGCGUGAGCGAAGAAGUAUUUCGGUAUGUAAAGCUCUAUCAGCAGGGAAGAAACUGACGGUACCUGACUAAGAAGCACCGGCUAAAUACGUGCCAGUAGCCGCGGUAAUCUGAGCGGGCUGGCAAGGC